GACGAACGCUGGCGGCGUGCUUAACACAUGCAAGUCGAACGGGGAACCUCUUCGGAGGGGAUCAGUGGCGAACGGGUGAGUAACACGUGGGCAACCUGCCCCCGGCUCUGGGAUAACUCCAAGAAAUUGGGGCUAAUACCGGAUGUUCACCGCUUCCCGCCUGGGUGGUGGUGGAAAGGGUUUCCGGCUGGGGAUGGGCCCGCGGCCUAUCUGCUUGUUGGUGGGGUAGUGGCCUACCAAGGCGACGACGGGUAGCCGGCCUGAGAGGGUGACCGGCCACACUGGGACUGAGACGCGGCCCAGACUCCUACGGGAGGCAGCGGUGAGGAAUAUUGCGCAAUGGGCGGAAGCCUAACGCAGCGACGCCGCGUGGGGGAUGACGGCCUUCGGGUUGUAGACCUCUUUCAGCAGGGACGAAGCGCAAGUGACGGUACCUUCAGAAGAAGCACCGGCCAACUACGUG
rnacentral:rRNA from 1 species